GGUUAAGCGACUAAGCGUACACGGUGGAUGCCCUGGCAGUCAGAGGCGAUGAAGGACGUGCUAAUCUGCGAUAAGCGUCGGUAAGGUGAUAUGAACCGUUAUAACCGGCGAUUUCCGAAUGGGGAAACCCAGUGUGAUUCGUCACACUAUCAUUAACUGAAUCCAUAGGUUAAUGAGGCGAACCGGGGGAACUGAAACAUCUAAGUACCCCGAGGAAAAGAAAUCAACCGAGAUUCCCCCAGUAGCGGCGAGCGAACGGGGAGCAGCCCAGAGCCUGAAUCAGUGUGUGUGUUAGUGGAAGCGUCUGGAAAGGCGCGCGAUACAGGGUGACAGCCCCGUACACAAAAAUGCACAUGCUGUGAGCUCGAUGAGUAGGGCGGGACACGUGGUAUCCUGUCUGAAUAUGGGGGGACCAUCCUCCAAGGCUAAAUACUCCUGACUGACCGAUAGUGAACCAGUACCGUGAGGGAAAGGCGAAAAGAACCCCGGCGAGGGGAGUGAAAAAGAACCUGAAACCGUGUACGUACAAGCAGUGGGAGCACGCUUAGGCGUGUGACUGCGUACCUUUUGUAUAAUGGGUCAGCGACUUAUAUUCUGUAGCAAGGUUAACCGAAUAGGGGAGCCGAAGGGAAACCGAGUCUUAACUGGGCGUUAAGUUGCAGGGUAUAGACCCGAAACCCGGUGAUCUAGCCAUGGGCAGGUUGAAGGUUGGGUAACACUAACUGGAGGACCGAACCGACUAAUGUUGAAAAAUUAGCGGAUGACUUGUGGCUGGGGGUGAAAGGCCAAUCAAACCGGGAGAUAGCUGGUUCUCCCCGAAAGCUAUUUAGGUAGCGCCUCGUGAAUUCAUCUCCGGGGGUAGAGCACUGUUUCGGCAAGGGGGUCAUCCCGACUUACCAACCCGAUGCAAACUGCGAAUACCGGAGAAUGUUAUCACGGGAGACACACGGCGGGUGCUAACGUCCGUCGUGAAGAGGGAAACAACCCAGACCGCCAGCUAAGGUCCCAAAGUCAUGGUUAAGUGGGAAACGAUGUGGGAAGGCCCAGACAGCCAGGAUGUUGGCUUAGAAGCAGCCAUCAUUUAAAGAAAGCGUAAUAGCUCACUGGUCGAGUCGGCCUGCGCGGAAGAUGUAACGGGGCUAAACCAUGCACCGAAGCUGCGGCAGCGACGCUUAUGCGUUGUUGGGUAGGGGAGCGUUCUGUAAGCCUGUGAAGGUGUACUGUGAGGUAUGCUGGAGGUAUCAGAAGUGCGAAUGCUGACAUAAGUAACGAUAAAGCGGGUGAAAAGCCCGCUCGCCGGAAGACCAAGGGUUCCUGUCCAACGUUAAUCGGGGCAGGGUGAGUCGACCCCUAAGGCGAGGCCGAAAGGCGUAGUCGAUGGGAAACAGGUUAAUAUUCCUGUACUUGGUGUUACUGCGAAGGGGGGACGGAGAAGGCUAUGUUGGCCGGGCGACGGUUGUCCCGGUUUAAGCGUGUAGGCUGGUUUUCCAGGCAAAUCCGGAAAAUCAAGGCUGAGGCGUGAUGACGAGGCACUACGGUGCUGAAGCAACAAAUGCCCUGCUUCCAGGAAAAGCCUCUAAGCAUCAGGUAACAUCAAAUCGUACCCCAAACCGACACAGGUGGUCAGGUAGAGAAUACCAAGGCGCUUGAGAGAACUCGGGUGAAGGAACUAGGCAAAAUGGUGCCGUAACUUCGGGAGAAGGCACGCUGAUAUGUAGGUGAAGUGAUUUACUCAUGGAGCUGAAAUCAGUCGAAGAUACCAGCUGGCUGCAACUGUUUAUUAAAAACACAGCACUGUGCAAACACGAAAGUGGACGUAUACGGUGUGACGCCUGCCCGGUGCCGGAAGGUUAAUUGAUGGGGUUAGCGCAAGCGAAGCUCUUGAUCGAAGCCCCGGUAAACGGCGGCCGUAACUAUAACGGUCCUAAGGUAGCGAAAUUCCUUGUCGGGUAAGUUCCGACCUGCACGAAUGGCGUAAUGAUGGCCAGGCUGUCUCCACCCGAGACUCAGUGAAAUUGAACUCGCUGUGAAGAUGCAGUGUACCCGCGGCAAGACGGAAAGACCCCGUGAACCUUUACUAUAGCUUGACACUGAACAUUGAGCCUUGAUGUGUAGGAUAGGUGGGAGGCUUUGAAGUGUGGACGCCAGUCUGCAUGGAGCCGACCUUGAAAUACCACCCUUUAAUGUUUGAUGUUCUAACGUGGACCCGUAAUCCGGGUUGCGGACAGUGUCUGGUGGGUAGUUUGACUGGGGCGGUCUCCUCCUAAAGAGUAACGGAGGAGCACGAAGGUUGGCUAAUCCUGGUCGGACAUCAGGAGGUUAGUGCAAUGGCAUAAGCCAGCUUGACUGCGAGCGUGACGGCGCGAGCAGGUGCGAAAGCAGGUCAUAGUGAUCCGGUGGUUCUGAAUGGAAGGGCCAUCGCUCAACGGAUAAAAGGUACUCCGGGGAUAACAGGCUGAUACCGCCCAAGAGUUCAUAUCGACGGCGGUGUUUGGCACCUCGAUGUCGGCUCAUCACAUCCUGGGGCUGAAGUAGGUCCCAAGGGUAUGGCUGUUCGCCAUUUAAAGUGGUACGCGAGCUGGGUUUAGAACGUCGUGAGACAGUUCGGUCCCUAUCUGCCGUGGGCGCUGGAGAACUGAGGGGGGCUGCUCCUAGUACGAGAGGACCGGAGUGGACGCAUCACUGGUGUUCGGGUUGUCAUGCCAAUGGCACUGCCCGGUAGCUAAAUGCGGAAGAGAUAAGUGCUGAAAGCAUCUAAGCACGAAACUUGCCCCGAGAUGAGUUCUCCCUGACCCUUUAAGGGUCCUGAAGGAACGUUGAAGACGACGACGUUGAUAGGCCGGGUGUGUAAGCGCAGCGAUGCGUUGAGCUAACCGGUACUAAUGAACCGUGAGGCUUAACCUU
rnacentral:rRNA from 1 species